rnacentral:lncRNA from 13 species
AUGAAUCUGUUUGUCUCAAGUAAAUUUUUAUUUAAGCAGUGUCUCACUCUGUUGCACAGGCUGGAGUGCACUGGUGUAAUCAUAGUUCACUGCAGCCUUGACCUCCUGAGCUCAGAAGCUGCACCAUUUAUUUUUAGACUUCCAUCAGCAUCACACAAGGGUUCCAAUUUCUCUGCAACCUUACCAACAGUUACUUUUUUGAGAAUAGCCAUUCUAACAGGUAUGAGAUAAUAUCUCAUUGUUGUUUUGAUUUAUAUUUUCCUGAUGAGUAGUGAUGUAGAAAAUUUUUUCAUUU